AAGAGCUUGCAUUGUAUUUGCCUGUUACUGGGGAAGAGGGUCCAACUUGCAAAGCUGGAUAUUCUCACUGCAGGUUUCCAGGGGAAAGGUCCGAUAAGGUGCUUGGUUUGCCGCAAAGCUGCCUGUCUACCUGUGCACGGUCCCAGCUUGUGGGCACACCUCUCUGGAGUCACAGCUGCAGUUGUGCUGGAAAAAAAUAAUCAUCCUUCUCCAGGAGAGGAAGAUAACAAGCACC